rnacentral:ncRNA from 1 species
CACUUUUGGUCCUUGACGCUCUGUUGUCUAUAGCCUAAAUUACACAUGCAAGCCUCCACGCCCCAGUGAGGAAGCCCACAAGCUCUGUUUGAGCAAUGGAGACGGCAUCAGGCACGCCACCCGCAGCCCGCCACGCCACGCAAAUUGCCACACCCACAAGGGCCUCAGCAGUGAACAACAUUAAGAAAUUAGCGGAAGCUUGACUUAGUUAGGGCUAAGAAUGGCCGGUAAAUCCCGUGCCAGCCACCGCGGUUAUACGAGAGGCCAGAGACAACAGCAUUUGGCGUAAAGCGUGACUAGAGUGAAACCCGUACUUUAAGGGGGUACCUCUUCUAAGCUGUGAAACCCACAAGAAACAAGAACCACAUUAACCCUUAACAAAAAGAUAGCUUAAACUCACGAAAGUUGAGACACAAACUGGGAUUAGAUACCCCACUAUGCCCAACCAUAAACUUCAACAGCCAGAAAUCUUAAGCUGUUCGCCCGGGGAUUACAAGCAAAAGCUCAAAACCCAAAGGACUUGGCGGUGCCCCACACCAAACUAGAGGAGCCUGUCCCAUAAUCGAUACCCCACGAUAGACCUUACCCCCUUUUGUUUAAUUCAGCCUAUAUACCGCCGUCGUCAGCCUACCACAUGAGAGCACAGCAGUGGGCCCAACAGUACACGCAAACACGCCAGGUCAAGGUGUAGCUAACAGGGCGGCGGAGAUGGGCUACAUUUCUAAACUCGGAUAAACACGAAAGGCACACUGAAAAACCGAGCCAGAAGGUGGAUUUAGCAGUAAAAUAGUUAAGACCCACUACUUGAAGUGCGCUCUAGGGCACGCACACACCGCCCGUCACCCUCCUCAACGCACACUACUUUUAACCUAUACAACCAACGCGAUAAGAUGAGGCAAGUCGUAACAAGGUAAGCGCACUGGAAAGUGCGCUUGGAAU